CCUACGGGAGGCAGCAGUGGGGAAUAUUGCACAAUGGGCGCAAGCCUGAUGCAGCGACGCCGCGUGAGGGAUGACGGCCUUCGGGUUGUAAACCUCUUUCAGUAGGGAAGAAGCGAAAGUGACGGUACCUGCAGAAGAAGUGCCGGCUAACUACGUGCCAGCAGCCGCGGUAAUACGUAGGGCGCAAGCGUUAUCCGGAAUUAUUGGGCGUAAAGAGCUCGUAGGCGGUUUGUCGCGUCUGCUGUGAAAGACCGGGGCUCAACUCCGGUUCUGCAGUGGGUACGGGCAGACUAGAGUGAUGUAGGGGAGACUGGAAUUCCUGGUGUAGCGGUGAAAUGCGCAGAUAUCAGGAGGAACACCGAUGGCGAAGGCAGGUCUCUGGGCAUUAACUGACGCUGAGGAGCGAAAGCAUGGGGAGCGAACAGGAUUAGAUACCCUGGUAGUCCAUGCCGUAAACGUUGGGCACUAGGUGUGGGAGACAUUCCACGUUUUCCGCGCCGUAGCUAACGCAUUAAGUGCCCCGCCUGGGGAGUACGGCCGCAAGGCUAAAACUCAAAGGAAUUGACGG
rnacentral:rRNA from 1 species